rnacentral:tRNA from 1 species
UGGGACAUCGUCCAAUGGUAGGACUCUGGUUUUUGGUGCCAGCUAUGUAGGUUCGAAUCCUGCUGUCCCAGCCA